UACGAAGGGGGCUAGCGUUGUUCGGAAUUACUGGGCGUAAAGCGCACGCAGGCGGCUCGCUAAAUUAGAAGUGAAAGCCCUGGGCUCACCCCGGGAAUUGCUUUUAAGACUGGCGAGCUAGAAUCCAGAAGAGGGUAGCGGAAUUCCCAGUGUAGAGGUGAAAGUCGUAGAUAUUGGGAAGAACACCGGUGGCGAAGGCGGCUACCUGGUCUGGUAUUGACGCUCAGGUGCGAAAGCGUGGGGAGCAAACAGG
rnacentral:rRNA from 1 species